GCCGCCCCUCACAUCACCGGAUGGAUCCAUGACACAAAUCCACCAGAGAGAUGUCCCCGUCCUCUGUAUUCCCGGGAUUUCACACAGGAAGAUCAGAACAUCCCUCACCAUGA